AGAAUCAACGCUGGCGGCGUGCCUAACACAUGCAAGUCGAACGAGAAAGGGGAGCAAUCCCUGAGUAAAGUGGCGCACGGGUGAGUAACACGUGACUAACCUACCUUUUAGUGGGGGGAUAACCUAGGGAAACCUGGGCUAAUACCGCAUAAUACCUACGGGUCAAAGCAGCAAUGCGCUGAAAGAGGGGGUCGCGGCCGAUUAGCUAGUUGGCGGGGUAAUGGCCCACCAAGGCAGUGAUCGGUAUCCGGCCUGAGAGGGCGCACGGACACACUGGAACUGAAACACGGUCCAGACUCCUACGGGAGGCAGCAGUGGGAAUUUGCGCAAUGGGGGAAACCCUGACGCAGCAACGCCGCGUGGAGGAUGAAGUCCCUUGGGACGUAAACUCCUUUCGAUCGGGACGAUAAUGACGGUACCGGAAGAAGAACGCCCGGCUAACUUCGCGCCAGCAGCCGC
rnacentral:rRNA from 1 species